CAACCACCAACGUUUAAAAUUGACAUUGAGUAAGGUCACGGCAAAGAAAGCGUGUGCGCACGAGAACUCCUCUCCUGCGGGGGAGCCCUGACUCUUGCAAUUCCAGCAAAUAAACUCACAGUAAUAUUUCCGAAACUUCGAAAGUUUUCCAAUUCUUCAAAUCGUUUCAUCAGUGCGGGUAUCAAAUGAAAAUAAUUCCUCCUAUUCAAUCCCAUAAAAAUAAAAUAAUAAAUCAGCGUGGCAUUAAAGCUGUCACAUACGCGCAGCGGCAAACAUCUCUCACUCGCUCUUGAAGAGGAGUGUAGGUCAAAUAUUAUCGAUUACCUUAGCGCACGGCGCUACGUCCCUUAAGAUUCGCUCGACUGCGCAUACCCCGCGUGUGCUGUUUUCAUCCCUUCGUCGCGGUUUAGCUUGUUUUCCCUCAUGAAUUAAGCGGCAAACUCUCUGAAUCUCGUGUUAUUCCAGGCGAGAUAAACCCUUUUCAUUCCUUUAAAAGUGUUGUUUAUAAGUUCAUCAAAAUUUCGUUCCUCAAAAAGUUUAUUAAGCGGAGAUUCAAGUGGAAAAUGGACGAUUUGAACAAAACGGCAGAGGACGACGACAAAGAUCUGCGGAAAAAAAAUAAAGGGACUAAGCUCCCAGUAUUCGGUUUCAAAGAGCACAAUGGCAAAUCCGGGUUGCCGGUUCCCAUCAGCCAUACUGCUCCCAAAAAUAUUCGUCCAGUCUCCGCUUCUCAAAGACCACUCACUCCCAAAUUCCGCAAGAAACACGUCGUCCAGCCACAAGCAGAUAUCAUCAGGAAAACUCCUGAGAAUGCAACAUUAAAUCGAUUCGGAUUUCAAAGUAACGCACAAGUUGGUCCUGCACACAAAGCAACAGAGUCGAAGAAAAUCAGUGACGAUGGAUCAGUUAGAGUCAAGAUUAAUAAUUUAACCACACCUACAGGAGCUAUGGUAACGACGAGUAAGUUCAGGGAGACCCAUUUUCAGUCGGACUACUUGAGCCCGGGAGUUCGGUGUAGCACGCCGAGCGUCGUGAAAGCAGCGGUCAAAACUAGCGUGACGGCGGCCCCGGCCAAAGUGACAUUGCUCUCGAGUCACUUGCCCAGGCCGCAGCUCCCGGUCAAGCUGAGCCGACCCAACAGCGCCACCCUUAUCGCACCGUCCGUGAAUCACGGGAGUCCCAAGUAUGCCAAAACUGUCGCCAACAAUGAGGCCAAAGCUCGCUCCAGAAGCUGCCCGAAAACAAGACCAAUGGACAAGAAGACCAACAACAACCAAAAUCGAUUUGAAAUGAGCACAGUGAGGGACGGACUUGAGGUCACGGAGAUGAUUCCAUUACCAGGUUUUCGAAAUUGGCCCACCAAUUCAGCUGCCCCGAUCAAGCAAAAUCAAGAUCAAAGGUCGCUAAUAAAUAAACGGGCAGAGACAAAUAAUUUCGAGUUCAGCAGUUCAUCGGACGAGGAAGACUCUACAACCCAUGGGGAGGAAAAAAUGAGCAGGGACUUGAUGCGGAACGAGAAGAGUGGUAUGUCCCUCGCACUGUUAGGAUGUGAUCAGUGGAACGAAGGCGAGUGUGAGGGAGAAGCCAUGGCGACGGACUUGUUACCGGAGGGUGCCACCCCUGAUGACAUCGGAGACAAAUCAGUUAUACCAGGAAUCGAUCAGCCCUUAAGAUCAGUCCUUUUGACGAUUGAGGACCAAGCGUUUGCUGUCUUGGCUGCUUUGAACUCCACUGAACUUAUCGAGGAUGAGCAAUCACCUGAGGACUUGAUGAGCAUCUCACCUCCCCUCUCUGAGGCCAAUGAUCUUCCGUCUUCCAAACCAACAAGUCUGGACCUGGACAAAGCAGUCAAGUCUGCGGCGGGCGGGGGAGGCUCUGGAAGCGGGAGCCCUUGCACGCCAACUCACCCCUCGCACUCGCUGUCCAUCUGCUCGGACGAGCGGGACUACUUCGACGACGAGAUCGCCGACCAGCCGGGCCUCGUCUUCGAUGACGACACCGAGCCAAUCUCCGUCUCCGCGGGCCCCCUGUCUUCCGCCGCCACCGACGAGCCCCCCACCACGGUCCUCGACAACCCCGCCCCGGCCCCGCCCUCACACAACCCCCCACCCCCAACAGGAAUGGCAUCCUCACACAGGAAAACCUAG
rnacentral:lncRNA from 1 species